rnacentral:rRNA from 1 species
CAACCUGCCGAUGACUCGGGGAUAGCCUUUCGAAAGAAAGAUUAAUACCCGAUGGCAUAGUUCUUCCGCAUGGUGGAACUAUUAAAGAAUUUCGGUCAUCGAUGGGGAUGCGUUCCAUUAGGUUGUUGGCGGGGUAACGGCCCACCAAGCCUUCGAUGGAUAGGGGUUCUGAGAGGAAGGUCCCCCACAUUGGAACUGAGACACGGUCCAAACUCCUACGGGAGGCAGCAGUGAGGAAUAUUGGUCAAUGGACGAGAGUCUGAACCAGCCAAGUAGCGUGAAGGAUGACUGCCCUAUGGGUUGUAAACUUCCUUUAUACGGGAAUAAAGUGAGGCACGUGUGCCUUUUUGUAUGUACCGUAUGAAUAAGGAUCGGCUAACUCCGUGCCAGCAGCCGCGGUAAUACGGAGGAUCCGAGCGUUAUCCGGAUUUAUUGGGUUUAAAGGGAGCGUAGGCGGACGCUUAAGUCAGUUGUGAAAGUUUGCGGCUCAACCGUAAAAUUGCAGUUGAUACUGGGUGUCUUGAGUACAGUAGAGGCAGGCGGAAUUCGUGGUGUAGCGGUGAAAUGCUUAGAUAUCACGAAGAACUCCGAUUG